rnacentral:rRNA from 1 species
GCAUGAAGCUGGAAUCGCUAGUAAUCGCGGAUCAGAAUGCCGCGGUGAAUACGUUCCCGGGUCUUGUACACACCGCCCGUCACACCAUGGGAGCCGGAAACGCCCGAAGCCAGCGGCCCAACCGCAAGGGGGAGCUGUCGAAGGCGGGUCCGGUGACCGGGGUGAAGUCGUAACAAGGUAGC